rnacentral:lncRNA from 1 species
GUGAUUCAUCCUGGUUUGAUUAGAAUGACAAAGAAGCUGUCAUAUUCCCAAACAGGAAAACUGGGAUCACCUGAUUUGAAAGUGGGAUAGCUUCUUCAUCCUAACUCCUAUGAGAUUUCUUCAACUUCCUAGUGAUUCUCCAUUACUUUAUGUAUCAAAAUCAAGCUUCUUACAUUGCGAUUCAUCCUGGUUUGAAUAGAAUGACAAAGAAGCUGUCAUAUUCCCAAACAGGAAAAUUGGGAUCACCUGAUUUGAAAGUGGGACAGCUUCUUCAUCCUAACUCCUAUGAGAUUUAUUAACCUUCCUAGUGAUUCUCCAUUACUUUAUGUAUCAAAAUCAAGCUUCUUACAUCGCGAUUCAUCCUGGUUCUAUUAGAAUGACAAGGAAGCUGUUAUAUUCCCAAACAUGAAAACUGGGAUCACCUGAUUUGAAAGUGGGAUAGCUUCUUCAUCCUAACUCCUAUGAGAUUUAUUCAACUUCCUAGUGAUUCUCCAUCCUUUAUAUACUAAAUCACAAGUCACUCAACCAAUAAUAUAUUGCCACAUAAUUAAAAAUAAAAAUGAUUUAAAACAAUAAAAAUUUGAAAAAACAGAAAAAAAUGACAUCAAUUUAGUAGUUACCAGACAAAAAAAAAAUCAAUCCACCUCGCCUACGGUUAUUCGCUCUGGACAUCCACGAUCAUCAUUCACUAACUACCUAUAAUUAUUUACAUAUAUUUGUAUGAGGUUCUUCUAUGGCUGCAGUUCAAACGAUCAGUCUUUCCUUUCAUCUUUCUUCUUCAUGUUUUUUUUUGCGGUCAAGUGUAGCAAAGAUCCACACAAGCUUAUUUAUUUUAUACAAGUGUAGCCUUUCUUCAUACAAUAUUUAUUUGUUUCCUUCUCAAUUUAAUGCUCU